GCCUCCCCAGGGGCGUCUCGCUGACACCCGCGUCCUUCUGCCUUCUUGUCUAGGUCCUUCUUUUCAUAAAGCAGGGCAAUAUGUAGGGGCAAUAGCUACAAUUCUGAAAUUAUUAAAGAUCGGGAGCCACGACUGAUCAGCUAUGUGACGUUGGGAAAGUCCCUAAAAAUCUCUGAAUUUCCUCCUUUGUGAAGCGGAAUUAUUUAUAGCUCCUUCCCGCACGAACGCUGAAGGGAAAGUCCGGCGAACAAUCCAGCACGGCGCCUUUUCCUUUCACUUGCUAAGUCAGGGCUCUGCUGCCAGACACGGAGGGUUUGUCAAGAUUUUCUCCCUGCCUCCGACCCCAUUAUAUCACGCACUGCAGGCAGGCACUUCUUAGCCUCAGCUUGCAGGAGGGGACAGAGGAAGAGGGAGGAGGAACCCGGACUUCUCCGCUGCACUUAUACUGCACGUGAACGUGUGGCAAGAAUCGCACACACACGUUUUGCCCUAACCAGCAUCUCGCCGCGGAUUGAGCCGAGGACAAACACAAGGUGCGAGCACUGGCAGGUUCCGGGCUGACGCGGUGUCCUCUCUGGGAGUGGAGCAGGAGCAGCGAACAGCUCAGAUGGGGCCAGAGACCCUGACCCGAGGAAGUCGCCGCCCAGGGCACUGCCCUUCCUGCUCUGCUCCUUGGCUCGGACCGGGACUCUGGAGUCCAGGAUGAGGGAAGGGUCCAUCCAGAAGCAGAGACAGACUUGGCUGCUACACUGGGCGUGGAGGCUCACAUUGGGGUGAAGAAUCAGUAUGGAGGAAAAGCAGGGCCAGGAGAUUGAAAGCAGAUGCAGUGAUAGCGCCUGGAUCCCCCUGUGCCUGAAGUAAGAAUCCGCUUUCCCCUCAGAAAGCUACCUGUAUGUCUGUAACCCUUGCAGGCAGUCAGGAUGGGUUGGGGGAAGAGCAAAGAGGACACGAUACAGAAAAGUGAGCUCUCUGGAAGGAGUCAGGUGGGACAGAAAGUUAAUCACUGAUGCUUGGUCUGCUCCAUAAAAAUGAAGGGAAAAGCCUUACUUAGGAAAAGGAGAUUACAGUUACCUGAGGGCUAAACAUUAAAAAUGAUAAAAUAUUUCCUAAAACAAGCCGAUCUGUGUGAAGACAAGAGGAAGAAAAGUUGUUGGAGCUACAGUCCUCACCCUCCCGCCAAGACGGGAGCGCUGACACGCCUUCGUCACACCACCGCGGAAAGAAUGCAAAGUUCCGCUCAGAAGACUGAAGCCGAGCUCCGGGUUGCUAUGAGCAGCCUCGGGAGAAGCUCACCGUGAACCCGGUCACUGAGAGUGUUCGUCCAGAGCGGACAGACAGACAGACGACACGCCAGAGAUCUGACCAUUCAUGGAAGAGAAAAAGUGCAAGAGUUUCAGGAAGAUAAAAAGAAAUGAGGUGAAAGCUAAAAUUUUCACUUGGUAACAGCUACGAAACUAGCCGCCAACGUUCCCCGAAGGCGUCCCAUGCGCUGACAUUACAGCAAGCGAGCUGUGGAACAAAGACACUCCUGAAGCACCGGGACUUUCCUCAUGCUCACUUCACAGGCCCUGAGAUGUCAAGUGGCUUCCUGAAACGAUUGUCCAGCUUAUCAGUGGUGGAACCAAGGUUUGAGUCUGAACUUGUCUGCCUCUGGAAGUUCAAAUACCUAAGGGCAUUUCCUAGCAGGAGUGAGAAGGGAAGAGGAAGGAGUUAAGGCAACUGGAGAAAGAGACCAUUUUCACGCUUUAUGUAAGGUAUAUUGUUACGCUUGUUAUUCUAUUUAGUUACUGUUAAUCUUUUACUGCACGCAAUUUAUGAGCUAAACUUUAUGGCGGGUAUAGGGGUGCAGGAAAUCACCACAUUUACUGGGUCAAUAGGUUUCAGGAGCCCCUGGAGGCCGUGGGGUGUGUCCCCAUGGGGACGCUACUGCAAUUCCUUGUUUACUUGUUCCCUUGUCUCUAGAUGCAAACACAGUCUAAGGGGCAGGGAGUUGAUGGCCCGGAGUCCCCACUGCACUUGAUGACAGGGCUGAAUGGGGGGUCGUGGGCCAGGCAGGGCCAGAGCACCUGGGCCGCUGCCUUGCAAGUGCUGGGCAAAGGACCGUGCUGGCCACAGCGACGGAGACGGAGACAGCCCUCCCAGUGGCCGGGGCGCUGCCGCACACAGGGUCCCUUGUUCUGAGCAGGUAUUAUUCAGAGCCUCCUAGUUUGGAAAGUGGAACAGGGAAGCAGAGACUUCUCCUCAUAAUCUUAUUCACUGGCGCAGCGUCCACUCACGGAAAGUGUUCCCCACUUCAACAGCCCUCUGGGUGCGACUCGGUUCAGCCAUCAAGGUCCUGCUGUGUCGGCUGGAAGGGUAAAGUGGACACAAGACGGACGCUGACUGCACAGCGAGGUGCACAUCUCCCAGGGGCUUCAGGAGUUCGGAGCUGUGUGGAUUAAACACCAGCGAGCUGCUUGGAUCAGAUACCGUCAUCGUGGGACAGGGAUCUGGCGACAUUCAGUUGGCAGAGGAAGGGGACAUGGACAAGUUCUUCAAAGGGAAUUCGACUGGAACAUGAGAGGACUUUGCCAGGCUCUUGGGAAGCCUGACAAGGAGCUUCAAAUGUUUUCCAAAACGUCCCCUGCUGCGGCUGUGUUGCUAGGACCGAAGGACACUU